rnacentral:misc_RNA from 1 species
UGUGAGGAAACCAGCGAGUUGGUUGCCAGUCUCCACAAAUGAAACAGUCUCGCUACCAUUCACUCUCGCUACCAUUCACUCUCGCUACCAUUCACAGCUUCUCUGGUGAAGUGAUAUUGUCACGGAUGGUCGCCUAGAGACUCCAGUUGUUGACCGCACUAUCAAUGUCCGGAACUACAGUGUCCAGAACCCCCCGCACUAUCCGAGAGUCUGGACUGCUCUGCUCCAUGUCCCAUGAAACCCCAAUCGUCGUCUGAAUGAAGAAAUGAAGCACCGAUGGGGCUACUAGAACUUCACCAACUCUCACCUUGCCCGACGACUUUACUUGAGAUCUGAGUACCCUCCUCGGUCUCAGCCGGUUUCAAUUACGUCAUUAUUGGAUCUCGGGCAAGUCAUACUCUACCGCGCAGGAGUACGAGGCCAUGAAUCAUGCCCUUGAACUUGCAUACACCCAUAUUCCGGUCCUUGUUCUCGUGGAGAAGUUUCCCGGUGCCAGCGAAGACAAGAUCCAGGGAGUUAUCAACUACUAUGGGCAGGAUACAUUAAGAAUCUGAACGUGGCCAAGUACUGGGACAACUUUGACGCCAUUGGCGACCUCAAGGACCACAUCUUCGACAACAACGGUGAUAAGGAUGCGGAUCUAGACUACACCAACCCUCCCCAUGUUAUCGUGAACUAUAUCAUGCAGGAUCCCGUUAUCAAGAACCUCAUUUUUUCGUGCCUCAUGAAGUCGACGACUUACGAGCAAAUACCGAUGGGGACUGAUGGACUUUGCCGACUCUUCUACUAUGCCUACGCAUCUCGACUGGUCGACUAUUUUGGAGGACAUCCGACACCUGAAGGAAUCCACGACUGCCUACGACAUUUAUAGGAAGCUGGUCUGUCAUACAGACAUUGUCUAUCUGCCUGGAGACGCCGACAACUCCAGGUUCAUGGAGUGGGUCAAUGCUAUGGUUAAAGUCGAGGAGGAGUCCACCUUUGCGAGAGAAGGACCUGAGUUCUAGAGUGAUCUCAACAGGCGCAUGUUGGCCAACUUCAAACUCGAACCCACCAUGAAAAGACGAGAUCAAAUGCUGACCAACCUGCGACUUUGAGACUACUCGAGCUACAAUCUAUGAUAUAUAUUCUGAUUGGCGACAGGAGUCAGCUAAACCGGAUUCAGUUGCGAGCUGUGACCAGGCCUGGUUCAACUGAACAAUGGUAACGCCGCUUACAAGAAAAACUUUCGCGCAAUGGAGUAUUCGAAGAAUGCUAUUAUCGACCUUCUUAUGGAAGAUGGCGUUUUUCUUCUCUGCGGUUUUCUCGGCCACAGUUAUCAGGAAAAUCACCGUUUUGAUCACGACACAGGCGAAGGGAUCGUCCGCUGAAGGCCACUUUUGGUGAAUCGGGCAUGAAGAGAAAAAUCUUUGAAACGGUAAUGUGCAGCCCAAGAUCUCGGAUCAUCUGGGGAGAACCUCUUCCGACAAGCGUAAGCGGAAACAGGACCCGGGGGAGUUCCCUUUACACAAAGGUACUGUGAGAUUCAUCUUUCAAUCAUUGCAAUCAAGGGUUGGAUUCGAGCAGAGUUACAAGUACCUUCAAUUAUUCAACUCCACUGGUUCGUCCUUCCUACUUUCCAGCCCGUUUGAAGUAAUGUCCAUGCUGGUCAAAAUCUGGAACCAGAAGGUGGAGGUGUUGAGCUGUGAGAAUUUCUCCGUCAAGUUCUUCACCAUUUGGAGUUGAGCUGCGUUUUUGAACAUGAGAGGGCUACAAGCACAGCACUGUAUGUACACCGAAUCGACACAAGAGUCUUUAAUUAAUAGUA